rnacentral:rRNA from 1 species
UAGGCGUAAAUGAUGCGAGUUAAGUGUGGGGGCGAUCUACGAGAUGGCCCUGUGCUGUAGGGUAGCCGUUAAACUCGCUGCCUGGGGAGUACGGUCGCAAGGCUGAAACUUAAAGGAAUUGGCGGGGGGAGCACCACAAGAGGUGGAGGCUGCGGUUCAAUUGGACUCAACGCCGGAAACUCAUCGGGAGCGACAGCAGUAUGAUUGCCAGGUUGAUGACCUUGCUUGACAAGCUGAGAGGAGGUGCAUGGCGUAGUCGUGU